ACACCUGUUCCCAUCCCGAACACAGAAGUAAAGUCCUCCAGCGUCGAUGGUACUUGGCGGGUAGCUGCCUGGGAGAGUAGAACGUUGCCGGUU
rnacentral:rRNA from 1 species